AAGGAAAACAUAUAUAAACUCCAGUAAAAUCAAUAUUGCUUCAUUCAAAACCUGUUCAUAAUCAAGGCUUUAUUGAGUAAAAUCAUAAUGAAAUUGUUUAUAAUUGUCGUCACUAUCUUCUUGGCUAUGUUUGCUGUUAUCAACGCUGGACCAGUUCAAGAACUGGAUGAGAUUAAUGGUCGACUGCGAGUACGCCGAGAGGAUUGUAAUCUGAGGGAGUGUAACGACUCUUGUAAGCGCAUCUUCCUUCCCGGAGGUGUCUGCGUUAGAAACAAAUGCAAAUGCGAUAUUUUGUAAUAAAUAAAUAAUUUUGA